GGGUUGUGAGGUUAAGCGACUAAGCGUACACGGUGGAUGCCCUGGCAGUCAGAGGCGAUGAAGGACGUGCUAAUCUGCGAUAAGCGUCGGUAAGGUGAUAUGAACCGUUAUAACCGGCGAUUUCCGAAUGGGGAAACCCAGUGUGAUUCGUCACACUAUCAUUAACUGAAUCCAUAGGUUAAUGAGGCGAACCGGGGGAACUGAAACAUCUAAGUACCCCGAGGAAAAGAAAUCAACCGAGAUUCCCCCAGUAGCGGCGAGCGAACGGGGAGCAGCCCAGAGCCUGAAUCAGUGUGUGUGUUAGUGGAAGCGUCUGGAAAGGCGCGCGAUACAGGGUGACAGCCCCGUACACAAAAAUGCACAUGCUGUGAGCUCGAUGAGUAGGGCGGGACACGUGGUAUCCUGUCUGAAUAUGGGGGGACCAUCCUCCAAGGCUAAAUACUCCUGACUGACCGAUAGUGAACCAGUACCGUGAGGGAAAGGCGAAAAGAACCCCGGCGAGGGGAGUGAAAAAGAACCUGAAACCGUGUACGUACAAGCAGUGGGAGCACGCUUAGGCGUGUGACUGCGUACCUUUUGUAUAAUGGGUCAGCGACUUAUAUUCUGUAGCAAGGUUAACCGAAUAGGGGAGCCGAAGGGAAACCGAGUCUUAACUGGGCGUUAAGUUGCAGGGUAUAGACCCGAAACCCGGUGAUCUAGCCAUGGGCAGGUUGAAGGUUGGGUAACACUAACUGGAGGACCGAACCGACUAAUGUUGAAAAAUUAGCGGAUGACUUGUGGCUGGGGGUGAAAGGCCAAUCAAACCGGGAGAUAGCUGGUUCUCCCCGAAAGCUAUUUAGGUAGCGCCUCGUGAAUUCAUCUCCGGGGGUAGAGCACUGUUUCGGCAAGGGGGUCAUCCCGACUUACCAACCCGAUGCAAACUGCGAAUACCGGAGAAUGUUAUCACGGGAGACACACGGCGGGUGCUAACGUCCGUCGUGAAGAGGGAAACAACCCAGACCGCCAGCUAAGGUCCCAAAGUCAUGGUUAAGUGGGAAACGAUGUGGGAAGGCCCAGACAGCCAGGAUGUUGGCUUAGAAGCAGCCAUCAUUUAAAGAAAGCGUAAUAGCUCACUGGUCGAGUCGGCCUGCGCGGAAGAUGUAACGGGGCUAAACCAUGCACCGAAGCUGCGGCAGCGACGCUUAUGCGUUGUUGGGUAGGGGAGCGUUCUGUAAGCCUGUGAAGGUGUACUGUGAGGUAUGCUGGAGGUAUCAGAAGUGCGAAUGCUGACAUAAGUAACGAUAAAGCGGGUGAAAAGCCCGCUCGCCGGAAGACCAAGGGUUCCUGUCCAACGUUAAUCGGGGCAGGGUGAGUCGACCCCUAAGGCGAGGCCGAAAGGCGUAGUCGAUGGGAAACAGGUUAAUAUUCCUGUACUUGGUGUUACUGCGAAGGGGGGACGGAGAAGGCUAUGUUGGCCGGGCGACGGUUGUCCCGGUUUAAGCGUGUAGGCUGGUUUUCCAGGCAAAUCCGGAAAAUCAAGGCUGAGGCGUGAUGACGAGGCACUACGGUGCUGAAGCAACAAAUGCCCUGCUUCCAGGAAAAGCCUCUAAGCAUCAGGUAACAUCAAAUCGUACCCCAAACCGACACAGGUGGUCAGGUAGAGAAUACCAAGGCGCUUGAGAGAACUCGGGUGAAGGAACUAGGCAAAAUGGUGCCGUAACUUCGGGAGAAGGCACGCUGAUAUGUAGGUGAAGUCCCUCGCGGAUGGAGCUGAAAUCAGUCGAAGAUACCAGCUGGCUGCAACUGUUUAUUAAAAACACAGCACUGUGCAAACACGAAAGUGGACGUAUACGGUGUGACGCCUGCCCGGUGCCGGAAGGUUAAUUGAUGGGGUUAGCGCAAGCGAAGCUCUUGAUCGAAGCCCCGGUAAACGGCGGCCGUAACUAUAACGGUCCUAAGGUAGCGAAAUUCCUUGUCGGGUAAGUUCCGACCUGCACGAAUGGCGUAAUGAUGGCCAGGCUGUCUCCACCCGAGACUCAGUGAAAUUGAACUCGCUGUGAAGAUGCAGUGUACCCGCGGCAAGACGGAAAGACCCCGUGAACCUUUACUAUAGCUUGACACUGAACAUUGAGCCUUGAUGUGUAGGAUAGGUGGGAGGCUUUGAAGUGUGGACGCCAGUCUGCAUGGAGCCGACCUUGAAAUACCACCCUUUAAUGUUUGAUGUUCUAACGUUGACCCGUAAUCCGGGUUGCGGACAGUGUCUGGUGGGUAGUUUGACUGGGGCGGUCUCCUCCUAAAGAGUAACGGAGGAGCACGAAGGUUGGCUAAUCCUGGUCGGACAUCAGGAGGUUAGUGCAAUGGCAUAAGCCAGCUUGACUGCGAGCGUGACGGCGCGAGCAGGUGCGAAAGCAGGUCAUAGUGAUCCGGUGGUUCUGAAUGGAAGGGCCAUCGCUCAACGGAUAAAAGGUACUCCGGGGAUAACAGGCUGAUACCGCCCAAGAGUUCAUAUCGACGGCGGUGUUUGGCACCUCGAUGUCGGCUCAUCACAUCCUGGGGCUGAAGUAGGUCCCAAGGGUAUGGCUGUUCGCCAUUUAAAGUGGUACGCGAGCUGGGUUUAGAACGUCGUGAGACAGUUCGGUCCCUAUCUGCCGUGGGCGCUGGAGAAUUGAGGGGGGCUGCUCCUAGUACGAGAGGACCGGAGUGGACGCAUCACUGGUGUUCGGGUUGUCAUGCCAAUGGCACUGCCCGGUAGCUAAAUGCGGAAGAGAUAAGUGCUGAAAGCAUCUAAGCACGAAACUUGCCCCGAGAUGAGUUCUCCCUGACUCCUUGAGAGUCCUGAAGGAACGUUGAAGACGACGACGUUGAUAGGCCGGGUGUGUAAGCGCAGCGAUGCGUUGAGCUAACCGGUACUAAUGAACCGUGAGGCUUAACCUUACAACGCCGAAG
rnacentral:rRNA from 1 species